CUGUGGUAGGUAUAACGGUAUAGGCGGUGCCAUAUGGUUUUCAUCACUUUAGAGAUUACAGUUCAUUUGAUAACAAUUCGUUGUAACUUUAAUAGUUUAUAUUGUCAGUUUCAAUUAGACAUAACAUUUCCUCCCUUCUAAUUUUCGAAUUCCAUAGUAAAGUUAUAGUAUACAAAUGAUAAGGUCAUUGACUCGGUCAUUGAUAAAAAUCUGUUGUAUAAAGCACGUGUGGAAAG
rnacentral:lncRNA from 1 species